UCAAAUCUGAUUCAGCCAGGUGGGCUC
rnacentral:piRNA from 1 species